rnacentral:rRNA from 1 species
UACGUAGGUGGCAAGCGUUGUCCGGAAUUAUUGGGCGUAAAGCGCGCGCAGGCGGUCUUCCAAGUCAGUGGUGAAAGCCCGGAGCUCAACUCCGGAACUGCCAUUGAAACUGUUAGACUUGAGGAUGAGAGAGGUGAGUGGAAUUCCCAGUGUAGAGGUGAAAUUCGUAGAUAUUGGGAAGAACACCGGUGGCGAAGGCGGCUCACUGGCCCGGUACUGACGCUGAUGUGCGAAAGCGUGGGGAGCAAACAGG